rnacentral:rRNA from 1 species
CCCUUAGACGUUCUGGGCCGCACGCGCGCUACACUGACCAGUGCAACAAGCAUCCGUCCUUGGCCGACAGGCCCGGGCAAUCUUUGAACGCUGGACGUGAUGGGGAUAGACUUUUGCAAUUUUUGGUCUUCAACGAGGAAUUCCUAGUAAACGCAAGUCAUCAACUUGCAUUGAUUACGUCCCUGCCCUUUGUACACACCGCCCGUCGCACCUACCGAUUGAAUGGUCCGGUGAAGCCUCCGGAUUGGCGCGCACCUCGGUGCCGCCGAGAAGUUGGCUAAACCUUACCAUUUAGAGGAAGGUGAAGUCGUAACA